rnacentral:rRNA from 1 species
AUACCGGCCAGAGACCGAUAGCGCACAAGUAGAGUGAUCGAAAGAUGAAAAGCACCUUGAAAAGGGGGUUAAAUAGUACGUGAAAUUGUUGAAAGGGAAGCACUUAUGACCAGACUUGGGCCGGGCGGCUCAUCAGGGGUUCUCCCCUGUGCACUCCGCCCGGCACAGGCCAGCAUCGGUUCUCGUGGGGGGAUAAGACCGUCAGGAACGUAGCACCCUCCGGGGUGUGUUAUAGCCUGGCGGACGAUACCCUCGUGGGGACCGAGGUUCGCGCUCCGCAAGGAUGCUGGCGUAAUGGUCGUAAUCCGCCCGUCUUGAAACACGGACC